GACAGAGGGUGCAAACGUUGUUCGGAAUUACUGGGCGUAAAGCGGGUGUAGGUGGCUUUGUAAGUCAGGUGUGAAAUCCCAGGGCUCAACCCUGGACGUGCACUUGAUACUGCGAAGCUUGAGUGUGGGAGAGGCUAGUAGAAUUCCAGGUGUAGUGGUGAAAUACGUAGAUAUCUGGAGGAAUACCGGUGGCGAAGGCGGCUAGCUGGCCCAACACUGACACUGAUGCCCGAAAGCGUGGGGAUCAAACAGG
rnacentral:rRNA from 1 species